GGCUCUAUAGUAUAAAAAUAAUAUUAAAUUGCAAGUUUAAAGAUGUGGCGAUCACUAGAGCUU
rnacentral:tRNA from 1 species